UUUAUCGGCAAUGGAUGAUGAUGGUGAUGAUGAUGCCCAAUAGUCAGGGAUUUGGAAGGAACAGAGCUAGGAUUCAUAACAAAAAAUUCUGGCAGAUUCACAAAUGGUUCAAAUCCUAUAGGGUUGAAAAUUUCCCCCACCAGGGAAAGAAUGCUGAUCAGCAUGGUACAGGCUGAAGGCAAAGAGAAGGUGGAGGGGGUUAUGAAGAAAGGUAGUUGUAAAUAUCAACUACAGCCUUAGGCCUGUUGCAGAAAUAAAGAUUCCAACAGGCAUCAAAUGCUUUGUCCUUGUCCUAUUAUGUGACCCUUUUCACUUUUCUUCCCCUCUCCCUUUCCUCUUCUGUUUUAUAUAUGGUGAUCCUUCUCAGCCAGGGGUGAUUUUGACCUAUGGGGGACUGAUAUGGUUUGGCUCUGUGUCCCUACCCAAAUCUCAUCUAGAAUUGUAAUCCCCAUGUUUACAGGGAGGGAGGCGAUUGGAUCACGGGGAUGGCUUCCCCCAUGCUCUUCUCAUGAUAGGGAAUUCUCACGAGAUCUGAUGGUUUUAAAACCUGCGCUCUUCUGCGCUCUCACUUCUCCCUCCUGCCGCCUUGUGAAGAAGGUGCCUGCUUCACCUUCCACCAUGAUUGUAAGUUUCCUGAGGCCUCCUCAGACAUGCAGAACUGUGAGUCAAUUAAACCUCUUUCCUUUUAUAAAGUACCCAGUCUCAGGAAGUUCCUUAUAGCAGUGUGAAAACGGACUAAUACAGGGACCCUUGCCAAUGUCUAGAGACAUUUUCAAUUGCCAUGACUUGGGAAAGGGGAGCGCUACUGGCAUCUAUCAGGUAGAGUAAGGGAGGCUGCUAAAUAUCCUACAAUGCACAGAAAAGUCCCCCACAACAGAUAUUAUUUGGCCCAAAAUGUCAGUGUUCUCAAGGUGGAGAACUGAUAGAGAGUACAGAUGGUGGUUCAUAUUUUAAGUCCACAAGUUACAGGAUAUCAAGAUGGAAUUGGGAUUGAACCAAAGAAGGUUGAAUAAUACCCAGAAAUGGGUGUGAUGACUGAGCUACUAUGUUCUCUUUUAAGGAGUGUGAUAUGGCUUGGAUCUGUGUCCCCACCGAAUCUCAUGUCGGAGGUGGGGCCUGGUGGAGGUGACUGGACCAGUGUGCUUUCCUGUUCUUCAGAUUCUACAAAGAGAAACACUCUGUUUCCCAGACUUGCUUACAGCAAGGGACUUAGAUCCCGCCAGCCAGAGGCACUCCCGUGAGAUGGGCAGCUGUGCAGGAGGCAUCUGUCCUGCCGUGCAAUGCUCAGGCACAACCAGUUUUGGAGCCAACAGUCCUGACAUUGACUUUCUAUCCCUCAGACGCCAGCCAAGGCAGUGCAUUCCUGGAAUCAACGCUCUCAAUAGCAGCUUCCCAAUCCUUGGCCAAAGUGAUGUCACUCAGAGCCAGCGGUUAGGACAGAGGAUUCUCCAGCCUCAGAUUGCGGCAGAGUUCACAGUACCCUGGGGUGGGCUGAUUCUGCAGGGUUGUUUUUUAUGUCAUUUCUGAAGGUCCAAUUAAUAGCCCAUUUCUCCAGCUCUUCCAAUUAUUUUAUAAACACUAAAACCCUAUACAGAAUCCCUUAAUGCUUAAAAUGGUAAGAGUGGUUUCUGCAAUAGAACCCUGAUCGAUACAGCAAUAAAUAGUAUCCACAAUGACUUAUCAAUAAGGAAAAGGAAAAAGAGAGAGAAAAUUAAGUAAAAGACAUGAAUAUUCCAGAGGGAAAAAAUAAGAAUGUUCUAUAAACUUGAAAAGAUGUUCAACCCCAUCAGUAUUAAGGGCAACCACAACGAGAUACAUUUUCACAUCCACCAGAUCAACAGUUUUGAUGAUGCCCCUAAGUAGUCCUGAAGCAGUGCCUCCCAACCUCUCUCACCUAAUGGUGCACAGAGAAAGCCAUAGAAUGUUAUCAGCACAGGCUGGGCACUGUGGCUCACACCUGUAAUCCUGGCACUUUGGGAGGCCGAGGUGGGGGGAUCACUUGAGGUCAGGAGUUUGAGACCAGCCUGGCCAACAUGGUGAAACCCCAUCUCUACUAAAAAUACAAAAAUUGGCCAGGUGUGGUGGUAGGCACCUGUAAUCCAGCUAUUUGGGAAGCUGAGACAGGAGAAUCGCUUGAAUUCAGGAGGUGGGGGUUGUAGUGAUCUGAGAUCGCACCACUG
rnacentral:lncRNA from 1 species